rnacentral:tRNA from 1 species
AGCUUUAUAUUCAAUAAUGAUAUGAAAUUGCAAAUUUCAAGAGGUAAGUAUUUACUAAGGCUU